CUCUUAGGAUGCCUUUCUUUUCUGCUUGUCUCUUUGUUGUACUUUUUUUUUUUUUUAAUGCAUGCUUUUGUGGUCAUCAGAGAGUGAAAUACUUGUCCUUUGUAGACUUGAUUCUUUUGCCUUUUACAAGUAUAAAGCUUAAUGAGCUCCAUCCUCAGUGUCUUAGUCAGGGCCUCUACUCCUACACAAACAUCAUGACCAAGAAGCAAGUUGGGGAGGAAAGGGUUUAGUCAGCUUACACUUCCACAUUGCUGUUCAUCACCAAAGGGAGUCAGGACUGGAACUCAAGCAGGUUAGGAAGCAGGAGCUGAGGCAGAGGCCAUGGAGGGAUGUUACUUACUGGCUUGUUCCCCUGGCUUGCUCAGCUUGCUCUCUUAUAGAACCUAAGACCACCAGCCCAGGGUUGGCACCACCCACAAUGGGCUGGGCCCUCCCACUUGAUCACUUAUUGAGAAAAUGCCUUACAGCUGGGUCUCAUGGGGGCAUUUCCUCGACUGAGGCUCCUUUCUCUGUGAUGAUUCCAGCUUCUGUCAAGUUGACACACAAAAUGAGCCAGUGGUACACUUACCAAGGCCUCAUAUGUACAUACCUCCCUUGGCUCAGCUUUUCUGUUACAGUGUGACAGAGAAACAGACACCUUUUCUUUCCAACCUUUACAUGGUAGUGGGAACAUCUUAAAGUAUUUUUAUGAUUAUUAACUGCUGCUGUUCUUUGCUUUCUUUGCCUAAAAUCAUUUAACUGAGGAAGCGAGUGUCGGAUGUUUUAGAACCACAUGUUCUCAGUGCUGAGUUCUCUUAGCAUGUCCUCUCUCUAAGCAAAGCCGUGUAGAUCGAAUAGCGAGCCUGUCUUCUGCAGUGCUUGUGCAUGCUUGCUCCCUGCUGCUUGUGAGUUCAGUUCCUUGAGUUUCCACACUCUUACUCUUGUAUGGGAUGUACUUCAGUCUUGGACAUUCUGUUCAAUUACGGACAUGAUUAUUUCAUGGUUUUCCUCAUGAUGUUUGAACUCUAAAAGAAAUGUUGCUUAAUUUUCUUAUUUCCUUUUGUUGACGAAUUAAAAGACAAAUAUAGACUUCAAAGAAGAGAACUAGUCUCUCUAAAGCAGGAAUCAUAUAGUUUAAGUGUUUACCAUCAAAAAUAGUUUUUGUUCUAAGAAAAUAUUUAGUUUGGUCAUAGGUACAGAAUACAUGUGGUUCUAAAAACAUCCAACACCCAGAAUUCCUCAGUUAAAUAAUUUUAGUCAAAGAAGCCAAAGACCAGCAACAGUUGAUAGAUGUAAAAGUACUUUAAAACUGUUCUAACUCCUAUCUAAAGAUCACAGAGAAAAGGUGUUAGGCCACACUGUGACAGAAGAAAUUAGUUGAACCUACACAUGAGACACAGCUGUACAUGUAAGCCUCUUACUACCAUUUAAACCAAACUGCCCAGCAAGUAUUUGAUUUGCCAAUUGGCAACAUUUAGCAUUUGAAUCAACAUUGGUUUCUUUGUUUAAAAAAAAAAAAAAAAAAAAGCCAAGCCCAUUCAUGUCCUAAUAGUUAGUAUAAAAGGUAUGUGUAGGGGUUGGAGAUUUAGCUCAGUGGUAGAGCGCUUGCCUAGGAAGCGCAAGGCCCUGGGUUCGGUCCCCAGCUCUGAAAAAAAGAACAAAAAAAAAAAAGGUAUGUGUAAAUAGGUGGGUAGGAAUUAUUCUCAUUGUUCUUUAAAAUCACCUCAAUGCUGGAUGUGAUAGUAUACACCUUUAGUCUAGCACUAAGGAGCAGAGGCAGGCAGAUUUCUGUCAGUUCAAGGCCAGACUGCUCUACAUAGAGUUCUAGGCUAGCCAGAGCUACAUAGUAAGAAACUUCCUCAAAAGGAAAAGAAACAAAAUGACCUCAAAACAAUUAUUGUUACCCAUUAACAGGGUAUCACUAGGCUUAUUCUAUAAAUGCUUCCUAGUGAUAACUUCACAACAAAUGAACAGGUUAUAAAGUUAUAUACUUUUAGAGCUUGGAAUUGAGCAGCACUAAGCUCUUGCAAUUAGCUGCUCUGAGUAUAUUAGAGAUGGAGACCACCUAAGAGUUGUUUUCUCCAGAGCUGUUUAUAACUGAAUUGAUACUGUGUGUUCUUCUAGCUUUAAAAGCAGAAUCAUGUUCUCUAUUGAACUACCGCUUAAAGAAUACUUAAGAGCUGUCCCAUUACUUUAGAGCUCAGGAGCUAUGGCUAGCUUUUUUUUUUUUUUUUUUUUGGUUCUUUUUUUCGGAGCUGGGGACCAAUAUGGCUAGCUUUUUGUCCCCAUAGCUAAAAUAACCUAGUAUGUUUGAUUUAAGCUCUUUUUUUUUUUUAAUUCAGGUAAUUUUUUUAAAUUAAAAGACAAAAGGAAAAUCAUUUGUACAGGAAAAGAUGAAACCUUAUAGUUGCCUAAUUUAAAAUACUAAAUACAUAGUAAGAUCCUUUUACCUUCAAAAAAUACAUCACUCACAUUAUAAAAACUAUUUCUUUGUGGGGCAUGGUGGCUUUAAUCAGAGCACUAGGGAGGCAGAGGCAAGGGUAUCUCUGUUAGUUCAAGGCAGCCUGGUCUACAAAUUGAGUUCAGGACAGCCUGGGCUACACAGAGAAACCCUGUCCCCAAAAAACAAAACAAACAAACAAAAAAAAUCCAGUUUUUCUUUGCUUUAAAUAAGUAUGUUUGAAUAAAUUUAUUGGCAACAUGCAUGGUGUGGUUCACGUUUAUAAUCCCAGCACUGGGAAAAGAAAAUCCCCGUGAGUUCUAGGCCAGCUAGACUCCAGAGUGACACUGUCUCAACAGACCAGCGGGUAAGAGGCACUGAGAGAGGAAAGCAUUGCCUGAUACUCUAAAGUUGAUUGACUUUAUUUGGGAUGAAGAGAAGGCCCAGUGGUUAAGAGUGAGGAGAAGGCCCAGUGGUUAAGAGUGAGGAGAAGGCCCAGUGGUUAAGAGUGAGGAGAAGGCCCAGUGGUUAAGAGUGAGGAGAAGGCCCAGUGGUUAAGAGUGAGGAGAAGGCCCAGUGGUUAAGAGUGAGGAGAAGGCCCAGUGGUUAAGAGUGAGGAGAAGGCCCAGUGGUUAAGAGUGAGGAGAAGGUCGGUCCCCAGCUCCGAAAAAAAGAACCAAAAAAAAAAAAAAAAGAGUGAGGAGAAGGCUCAGUGGUUAAGAGUGAGGAGAAGGCCCAG